GGGCGUGUGGCUCAGUUGGCAGAGCAUCUCCAUGACGCGGAGAGGGUCGGGGGUUCGAUUCCCUCCACGCCCACCA
rnacentral:tRNA from 1 species